GUACUCCUGAGGAGUCCCAUACUAGGACGAAACGGCCAUCUAGUAC
rnacentral:hammerhead_ribozyme from 1 species